GCACUGCAGCAGAACUCAAAGCCCUGCAGAUGCUUCUGAGCAAAGGCACCCAGUCAUCGUCAUACCUUUGCAGCUCUACUAGGGAAACAUUUCUCAAAGCAAGCUAAGUCUGUUCAGGACAGAUGUAACACAACAGAAAUGAGAGGCCAACUACUGUUCAGAGCAGGGAGUCAGGACUCCCUGUUGUGACCAUUCUUGUUACAAUGCUGAACUGUCUGCAGGAUCUUUAUACACUAUUGAAACUAAAACCAAGCCCCUGUGAGGAGCUUUAGGAUUCAGCACCUUGGGCAGCUCACCAGAAAGGAAAAUCCAGGGAAGGCACCCAGGUGACCAGGAAAGAACAGAAUGUCCCCUCAAGUGACUUGCAGUUUCAGAGAAUCAGUAGCACAGAAAGGACUUGAACCCAGAUAUCUGCCAUAACAUAUCACUGUAUUGAACCAUUGUUCUAUACAGCAGUGUAAGCCUAAACAAAGGAAUGGAGGAGUAUGGCAUGCAUUAACCCUGCAGGCGGUGGUAGCUGGAGACUCUGGGAAAGGCAUCUGGAUCUUUGCAGGUAUCAGUAGUAUAAUUGAAAGACAAUGCAUGCAUCUACACAUGCAAUUAAUGCAAAGCAAUAAACUCCAGUGCAGUUCAUGCGAGAGUUUUUUGCUUCUGGGCACCACAUUUGCACAUGCGCCUGAGACCACAACACAUUGAGCUGGGCUGUGGAAGCCCAGGGCUGUUCUGACCUGGCUUAACAUUCUGCAGAGGGCCUGGCUGGGGCAUGAUGGUGCUCCAGUAUGGGUCUAGCUGGCAGGCAGUCCCGAUACUGAAGCACCUGCAUGCCCCAGCCACUGCUGUCAGCGUGUACACAUGCAUUGUGCCACACUAAAUAAUGCCACAACAGGAUAGUACUUUAGUUUACAAAUAGUAACCUAUGGUGGCAUUUAUUAGUUUACUGCAGCCUAAUAAGGCCUCAUGUGUAGAUGCUGAGAUUUUACUGUGGAGCUCAUUAGGCAAUUUGCAGUAAAUGUCUUGUGUAGAUGUGCCCAGUCUGAAGCAAACGAGAUAGGCUUCUAAGCUCUGCAUUGCUGAAGAAAUAGGGUGAGGGGGAAUGGGGAACAUUUAUAUUUCAUGUCACAAUGUUUUUUAAAUGCAAGGCAUAAGCAGGCCAAAAUGAAACUUCUGUCAUCUUUACAUUAUGGAUGCUCUUAUAAGUUUCUACCCAGCAAUGAUGCAGUUACAAAAAAAACUAAAGUCAGUAUUUUGAUAUUUCGUUAUAUUCAAUGUUUUUAUUAACUUGAGAUGAUGUUAGACACUCAGCUUUCAUCAAAAAAGAUAUGUCUAGUACGCUAUGCAAGAUAAGUUUGAAAUCAUUAUUCCUACUGUUUCAAAAACCAGAAGGCAAAAAACAACCCCUGCAAAUUUGUCUGGUGUUUUAAAGAUCUUGUGAUGUUUAAGCCAAUCUCAUGAUUUUUGGGGGAGAGGGGUGUCGUGAUUUAGGACCUUUGCUGCUGGUGAUCUUGUAUUUAAGUACAUGGUAACUACAUGGAAAUGAACCAUUAAGGUAAACAAUUACCAGUAUAUAUGCAGGUAGACUCAUAAGUCAUCCCUUCCCUGCACUAUCUGUACAAGCGUGUUAUAGUUUAUUAUAUAUUACACAAACAGUUUCUAACUCUGCCCCCGGAAAGCCACCCACCAGUCAUCAAACAAGGAGAUAUUGCUUGCAUGACAGCCACAAAGUUAGAUAUAGUACCUGAAAUUUGAAAGUGUUGAGCACAAA